rnacentral:rRNA from 1 species
GACGAACGCUGGCGGCGCGCCUAAUGCAUGCAAGUCGAGCGACGCACACCGGAGGGGUAACCCACCGGUAUGACGGAGCGGCGAACGGGUGAGUAACACGUGAGCAACCUGCCUCACAGACCGGGAUAGCCCAGGGAAACUUGGAUUAAUACCGGAUAUCCUCGAGGAACCACAUGGCUCUUUGAGGAAAUGCCUUUGUGCUGUGGGAUGGGCUCGCGGCUUAUCAGCUAGUUGGUGGGGUAACGGCCUACCAAGGCAUCGACGAGUAGCUGGUCUGAGAGGACGAUCAGCCACACUGGGACUGAGACACGGCCCAGACUCCUACGGGAGGCAGCAGCAGGGAAUCUUGCGCAAUGGGCGAAAGCCUGACGCAGCGACGCCGCGU